GCCGGUGUGGGGCCGGGGAAGGGAGGGGAGGAUUAUAUGUGCAGACCUUCUCCUUGUUCGGGGCAUUCAGACCCUGUGGUCUGGUCACAGCCUGCCACCAUCGGGCACCUGUUCCUAGCAGUGGGAUGGUAGCGCCAAGGGGAGGGGCCGAAUGACAGACAACAAAGAAGAACGCAGAGAAUUAGAAGAGGGGAUGUGCGUGAGAGUUCCUAGUCUGGGCCACCAGGAAGGUCUCUGAGAGGCAGUGACGGUGAAGUAGAAUCCCUGAGUGAUGACGAGGAGCCAGCCACUAGUGUUCUGGUGACUCUACUUUUAAACACCUGGCUCUCUGGGGUAGGGGGAGAGAAAAAUAAAUGCUCUGAUA
rnacentral:lncRNA from 1 species